AUUGAACGCUGGCGGCGUGCUUAACACAUGCAAGUCGAACGAAGUGGCGAACGGGUGAGUAACGCGUAAUCAACCUGCCCUUCAGAGGGGGACAACAGUUGGAAGUGACUGCUAAUACCGCAUACAGAAGGCGGGGAUUGCGUCUGCUUAGCUAGUUGGGGGGGUAACGGCCCACCAAGGCGAUGAUCAGUAGCCGGUCUGAGAGGAUGAACGGCGACAUUGGGACUGAGACACGGCCCAGACUCCUACGGGAGGCAGCAGUGGGGAAUCUUCCGCAAUGGACGAAAGUCUGACGGAGCAACGCCGCGUGAGUGAUGACGGCCUUCGGGUUGUAAAGCUCUGUUAAUCGGGACGCGGUACCGGAAUAGAAAGCCACGGCUAACUACGUGCCAGCCGCCGCGGUAAUA
rnacentral:rRNA from 1 species